rnacentral:tRNA from 1 species
GGGUAAAUAGUUUAUGGAGAAUAUGGGUUUUGUAAACCUAGGGGGCUGUUAAUUUGGCUUUACCCU